GGGCGUAAGAGCUCGUAGGCGGUUUGUCGCGUCGGCCGUGAAAACUUGGGGCUUAACUCCAAGCUUGCGGUCGAUACGGGCAGACUUGAGUUCGGCAGGGGAGACUGGAAUUCCUGGUGUAGCGGUGAAAUGCGCAGAUAUCAGGAGGAACACCGGUGGCGAAGGCGGGUCUCUGGGCCGACACUGACGCUGAGGAGCGAAAGCGUGGGGAGCGAACAGGAUUAGAUACCCUGGUAGUCCACGCCGUAAACGGUGGGUGCUAGGUGUGGGGGGCUUCCACGCCCUCUGUGCCGCAGCUAACGCAUUAAGCACCCCGCCUGGGGAGUACGGCCGCAAGGCUAAAACACGAAGGAAUUGACGGGGGCC
rnacentral:rRNA from 1 species